AAUAGUUUGGUGGUAACUUCCGGAUUUUUUAAAGUGCAAUUACAGAGUUUGAUUUCUGGGAAGAUGGAGUAGAUAUACUUUUCCCCAUUUUUCCUGCUAAGAACAACAAACAACCUGAGUUUUCCAUUUAUCUCAUACAUCUGGGGCUUCGACAGAAGAAGCCAGAAACCCAGAAAGAUCAAUGGACACUGACAAAAAAACUCAAAAAACCAAAAAAAAACAAAAAACAAAAACCUCAACCAAAGCCUGUUCUCUCCAGUCAAAAGACCAGGAAAGGAGCAACUUAACAAGACAAAAUGUUGACACCAUAGUAAAAAUGUGGCCUCACGCUCACCCAUGCCGGCAAAGGCCGAGUAGGGAGCCUCAACUCCCAGACAGUAGUGAAGUACCCCAAAUCCCCUAUAAGGGUAGUGUCAGAGG
rnacentral:lncRNA from 10 species